UGGAUUCGAAUGAGUUAGAGAUGAAUGCAGUGGUUAGUUCAUCACGAGCCUACCAGACCUGGUAUGUCAGAGGAAGGAGGAGAAGGUCAUUCGAUACACGAAAAAUGAACAUGAUGAUGAAGACCCAAGAGAGCGAGACGCGUUUGAAAUCAAGAAGGUCGUAAUGGAGUUUAGAUCGACAAUGAAUAUCCGAUAGUGAAAAUGAUGAAGAUGAUGAAGUUGUUCAGGAGAAAAGAGUAACACCAUUAGUCACUGAGAGGCGAA
rnacentral:lncRNA from 1 species